rfam:Dipodomys ordii ctg_broad_rename0001393, whole genome shotgun sequence.
UGGGAUGUAGCUCAAUGGCAAAGCGCUUGCCUAGCAAGUGCAAUAUCCUGGGUUCGAUCCCCAGUACCAA